ACUCCUACGGGAGGCAGCAGUGGGGAAUAUUGCACAAUGGGCGCAAGCCUGAUGCAGCCAUGCCGCGUGUAUGAAGAAGGCCUUCGGGUUGUAAAGUACUUUCAGCAGUGAGGAAGGUGGGUAUGUUAAUAGCAUACUCAUUUGACGUUAGCUGCAGAAGAAGCACCGGCUAACUCCGUGCCAGCAGCCGCGGUAAUACGGAGGGUGCGAGCGUUAAUCGGAAUUACUGGGCGUAAAGCGCAUGCAGGUGGUUUGUUAAGUCAGAUGUGAAAGCCCGGGGCUCAACCUCGGAAUUGCAUUUGAAACUGGCAAACUAGAGUACUGUAGAGGGGGGUAGAAUUUCAGGUGUAGCGGUGAAAUGCGUAGAGAUCUGAAGGAAUACCGGUGGCGAAGGCGGCCCCCUGGACAGAUACUGACACUCAGAUGCGAAAGCGUGGGGAGCAAACAGGAUUAGAUACCCUGGUAAGGCUCUGC
rnacentral:rRNA from 1 species